UACGGGGGGAGCAAGCGUUGUUCGGAUUUACUGGGCGUAAAGGGCGCGUAGGCGGCGUGGUAAGUCAGCUGUGAAAUCUCCGAGCUUAACUCGGAACGGUCAGCUGAUACUGCUGUGCUAGAGUGCAGAAGGGGCAAUCGGAAUUCUUGGUGUAGCGGUGAAAUGCGUAGAUAUCAAGAGGAACACCUGAGGUGAAGACGGGUUGCUGGGCUGACACUGACGCUGAGGCGCGAAAGCUAGGGUAGCAAACGGG
rnacentral:rRNA from 1 species